GCCUGGGUGGCUCAGUCGGUUAAGCGUCCGACUUCAGCUCAGGUCACGAUCUCGCGGUCCGUGAGUUCGAGCCCCACCUCAGGCU
rnacentral:tRNA from 1 species